rnacentral:lncRNA from 1 species
UCCUCCAAUAUCUUCGUCCGAUCUGUAUUGAGAGGAGUAUAAACUUUAUUGACGUUUUUGUUUGGGAAAGGUGGUCGACCACUGCCCGAUCCCCCACCAUUAUAGUUCUUCCUUCCUGAAUUAUCUGUCCUCCCCUAGUUGUUGUCCGGACGCUGAUAGUUCUGUUUAUCCCGAUCCUUGCUUUUCUCGUAUGAUUGAGAGUGGGGCUUAAAGUUUCCCAUAGUCUCCUCUAUGGCGAUGAAUCCUUCGACCCGGUGGAAGGCUUCGGUAAGGUCGGUCGGAGGGUGGAUUAAUUACUAGAUCAUUCAUCAAUUUCUUUGACCUUCCUAUGUCCAGACUCGUUGUAAAAAAUCCCAAAGCCUGAGGGGAGUUCAGCUCCGCCACCAAUCCCACUGCCUCUCGAAACCUCUUGACGUACUGACCAAAGCUUUC